AUGCUGACCAGCCCUAUGGAAAGGGCAGGGGCACAGCUCUCAUGGACAGCUGGCUACCCAGAGAUUCUCUCACGCGUCUCUCCACCUCGGCUCUCGGUCUUGGGCUGUAAGAAGAAGAGCUAUUUGCUGAGUCACCAGCAGAAAAGCCAUUUUGCUGAGUCACCCAGAAGAGCAAUUUUGCUGAGUCACCCAACAGCUGGGAUGGUUUCCCAAGCUUCCUCAAGCUCCCCGAGCCCCUGCUUAGUUCCACUUUUAGUGCCCAGCAGCUCCCUGGAGCCUCAGCUCCAUUCGUGCCCGGCCACCAGUGCCCUGUGCAUCCUGGGGCUGGUGGCUUCGCCUCUUUCAGCCUCAGGUACCUCACCUGCCCAGUGGGAACUGCCAGGUCGCAGGAAGCCAGGGCCAUCAGUGACUUGCUUGCUGUGUUAUCUCUGGGCCUACAGUGGAGUCAGGACCUGGUGCUCAGAAGGCACCUGGCCAGACCACAUCCCCUCUCCCCUGCUCCUUACCCGAGGGACCUUCCAGAUUACCAGUGGUCAGUCCCCUUCACACCCUCACUCCACUUCCCCUCUGCAGCCAGAUGGGUCUUUCUUCUGGGGCUCCUAUUGUCCCUGGGACAAAGUCCAGAUGUCUCCACGUGGCCUGCAUGGCCCUUGGAGGGACUCCCACUCGUCUCCCCAGGCUCCUCCCUCCCCACACUCCCGUGCUCCAGUUGCACACUCUCCUUCGUGUUUCAGGAACCUCCCUGAUCCUUCCCUGCCUCUGUGCCUUUGCCCAUUCCCUCUGAACUGGAGUGCCUUCCUUGUCUGCGUGAUGCGCACCUUCUCCUCAAAUCCCUCAACAGCACCCAGGGAAACAGUGCUGGAGCGCCCCUGCUGGCUUGCACUAGCUCUGAUGAGAAGGGGAAAUGACCUCAACCCAAGGUGGAAGCCAAGGAGGGGCCAGGCAGGGCCAGCCGCCUCCCCACGCCGAUGUGGCCCUGGGCACAUUCCUGAGCAGGUGGAAGCAAAUUUGGCUCAGAACCAGCAUCCAGGCACCCUGCCAGGCCCAAGACACAGAAAAUGCACGAGGUCUGAGCUCUCGGAGAACCUCGGGGGAGUGUAUGUUCUGCCAAGCAGCCAGAAACUUAAGGCACAGAGAGCUGUCCUUGUCCAGGGCCAGAGUCCGUGUUUCACACUCUGUGAGUCAUCCGGUCUGCGCCGCGGCGACUCAGACCUGCCACGACAGCGCAGAAGUAGCCAGGGACAACAGCAAAUGAGUGGGUGUGGCUCUGUGCCAAUAAAACUUUAUUUAUGGCAACAGGCCGUGGGCCAGGUUCGGCCCCUGGGCUGUGGUUUGGCACAGAUGCAAAUGACUGGCAUGGUGAGGGUGGGCGAGGUUGAAGUGGAUACCGAUUGCGGGAAGAAUGGGGUGGGGUUUAGUGUGGAGAAGACACAGGGAGUUAGGCAACCCCCCAGAACAUGA
rnacentral:lncRNA from 1 species